AUUGAACGCUGGCGGCAGGCCUAACACGUGCAAGUCGAGCGGAUGAGUGGAGCUUGCUCCAUGAUUCAGCGGCGGACGGGUGAGUAAUGCCUAGGAAUCUGCCUGGUAGUGGGGGACAACGUUUCGAAAGGAACGCUAAUACCGCAUACGUCCUACGGGAGAAAGUGGGGGAUCUUCGGACCUCACGCUAUCAGAUGAGCCUAGGUCGGAUUAGCUAGUUGGUGAGGUAAAGGCUCACCAAGGCGACGAUCCGUAACUGGUCUGAGAGGAUGAUCAGUCACACUGGAACUGAGACACGGUCCAGACUCCUACGGGAGGCAGCAGUGGGGAAUAUUGGACAAUGGGCGAGAGCCUGAUCCAGCCAUGCCGCGUGUGUGAAGAAGGUCUUCGGAUUGUAAAGCACUUUAAGUUGGGAGGAAGGGCAGUAAGUUAAUACCUUGCUGUUUUGACGUUACCAACAGAAUAAGCACCGGCUAACUUCGUGCCAGCCGCCGCAGUAAGAC
rnacentral:rRNA from 1 species